AUCCUAAUAGCCCAAAUAUCAGAGCGUAGCAUUGAAGGUGCUAAGGUAGUUUAGUUAAACUUUAGGGUG
rnacentral:tRNA from 1 species